rnacentral:rRNA from 1 species
AUGAUCGUGUCGGCGCUCGCGACGGCGGUGGGCGUCAACCUGGGCCUGACCGUGCUGCUCGUCUCCGCCUACUCGCUCCUCCGCCGCCGCCCGCCGUUCGUCUCCGUGUACGCCCCCCGCCGCCCCUACGCGCCGCUCGAGUCCUGGCUCGCCGCCGCGUGGCGCCGCUCCGAGGACGACAUCCAUGCCGCCGCGGGGCUCGACGGCGUCGUCUUCGUCCGCAUUUUCGUCUUCAGCAUCAGGCUUUUCGCCGUAGUCGCUGUGGUGGGCGUCGGCGUGCUCAUGCCGAUAAACUUCAUGGGGGACCAGCUGCAGCUGAUCGACUUCACCGACCUGCCCAGCAAGUCCGUCGAUGUCUUGAGUAUCUCCAAUGUCCAGGACGGGUCCAAUAAAUUAUGGCUUCACUUCUCUGCUGUGUACAUCAUAACUGGAGUCGCAUGCUACCUGCUCUAUUAUGAGUACAGAUAUAUUUCUGGCAAGAGGCUCGAGUAUUUUAUGACAUCGAAGCCACUACCCCAGUAUUUCACAGUUCUGGUUCGAGCUAUCCCUAUAACUGAUGGUGGUUCUGUGAGUGAUGCUGUUGAUAAGUUCUUCAAAGAGUAUCAUUCAUCCACCUACUUGUCACAUACUGUUGUUCAUCAAACUGGCAAACUCCGCCGCCUUCUUAAUGAGACCGAAAUUAUGUGGACAAAGCUAAAGAACCUAAAAUAUGUACCACAACGACCUUCUGCUGACAACCCUCCAAAAAAGUUUCUUGGACUAUUUGGAAGAAAUAAUCCUAUUGGGAAAUAUCAGAAAAGGCUGGCAGACCUAGAGGAAAAUGUUAGAAUGGAACAAUCAGAUGCUACUAGGAGACAGGAGAUUCCCGCUGCUUUUGUUUCAUUCAAAUCUCGAUAUGCUUCAGCGAAUGCAAUUUACAUAAGGCAGUCAGACAAUCCAACUGAGUGGCAAACUGAGCAUGCUCCUGAUCCUCAUGAUGUUUAUUGGCCUUCCUUUUCUACAUCAUUCAUGGAACGGUGGAUAUCCAAAUUUGUAGUAUUUGUAGCUUCAGUUCUUCUCAUAAUCGUGUUUCUUCUAGUUGUGGGAUUUAUUCAAGGGCUCACUUAUAUGGAGCAACUUGAGGCAUGGCUGCCUUUCCUGAGGAACAUACUGGAAAUAGCCAUUGUCAGUCAAUUGGUUACUGGGUAUCUUCCCAGUGUCAUUCUUCACUUCCUUUCCUCUUAUGUGCCCUCAAUAAUGAAGCUAUUUUCGACCAUGCAAGGAUUUGUGUCUGUCAGUGGGAUUGAGAGAAGUGCUUGCAACAAAAUGCUUCGGUUUACCAUAUGGACUGUGUUCUUUGCAAAUGUUCUUACUGGAUCAGCCUUAAAUCAACUUAACAUAUUCGUUGAUCCAAAGAAAAUACCUGAACGGCUUGCGGUUGUUGUACCUGCACAGGCAUCUUUCUUUAUUGCAUAUGUGGUGACUUCGUGGACAAGUAUAACAUCAGAACUCACUCAAACUUCUGCCCUUCUGUAUCACUUGUGGGGGAGCUGCGCAAAGUGUUGCAAGAGGGAAGACUCAGAAGCUCCAUCGAUGCACUAUCAUAGUGAAAUUCCUCGGAUUCUCUUGUUUGGACUUCUCGGGCUCACGUACUCCAUUGUAGCUCCACUUAUCCUCCCAUUUGUGUUGACUUACUUCUGCCUUGGCUACUUCAUAUUUCGCAAUCAGCUUUGUAAUGUGUAUGCACCCAAGUAUGACACCGGUGGAAGAUUUUGGCCCAUUGUGCACAAUGCAACCAUAUUUUCUCUUGUGCUGAUGCAUUUGAUUUCAAUCGGAGUAUUUGGAGUAAAGGAAUUUCCACUUGGUUCAAGUCUGCUGGUGCCUCUGCCAAUUCUCACACUUCUGUUCUAUGCAUACUGUGGAAACCGAUUUUACCCCAUCUUCGAAGCAUACUCUACCGAGUCAUUGGUAAACAAAGAUAUACAAGAACAAAGCAAACCAGAGAUGGCAGAGUUCUUCAGCAGCCUUGAAACAGCCUACUGUGACCCGGCACUGAAGCCUAUCCAGCGGUCUUCAAACUCUGAUGAACGUACUUCACCACUCUUGUCUUCUGUCUAG